rnacentral:rRNA from 1 species
CCUACGGGUGGCUGCAGUGGGGAAUAUUGGGCAAUGGAGGCAACUCUUACCCAGCCAUGCCGCGUGAAUGAAGAAGGUCUUAUGAUUGUAAAGCUCUUUAAUUGGGGACGAAAAAAAUGACGGUACCCAAGGAAUAAGCCUCGGCUAACUACGUGCCUGGAGGCGCUGUGUUACGGAGGGGGCAAGCGUUGUUCGGAAUGACUGGGGUUAAAGGGUGUUUAGGCGGUGUAGCAAGUUAGAAGUGAAAUACCUAGAGCUUAACUCAGGUGCUGCUUCUGAAACUGCUAGGCUUGAGUGCAGUAGAGGAAAGUGGAAUUCCUGGUGUAGCGGUGGAAUGCGUAGAGAUUAGGAGGAACAUCAGUGGCGAAGGCGACUUUCUGGACUGUAACUGACGCUGAGGCACGAAAGUGUGGGGAGCAAACAGGAUUAGAUACCCGAGUAGUC